CUCUACGGCCAUGCUACCCUGAACGAGCCCGAUCCAGUCUGAUCUUGGAAGCUAGCAAGGUCGGGCCUGGUUAGUACUUGGAUGGGAGACCACCUAGGAAGACCAGGUGCUGUAGGUG
rnacentral:rRNA from 1 species